rnacentral:rRNA from 1 species
GAUGAACGCUGGCGGCGUGCCUAAUACAUGCAAGUCGAGCGAACGGACGAGUAGCUUGCUCCUCUGAUGUUAGCGGCGGACGGGUGAGUAACACGUGGAUAACCUACCUAUAAGACUGGGAUAACUUCGGGAAACCGGAGCUAAUACCGGAUGAUAUAUUGAACCGCAUGGUUCAAGAGUGAAAGACGGUCUUGCUGAAACUUAUAGAUGGAUCCGCGCGGCAUUAGCUAGUUGGUAAGGUAAGGGCUUACAAAGGCAACGAUGCAUAGCAGACCUGAGAGGGUGAUCGGCCACACUGGAACUGAGACACGGUCCAGACUCCUACGGGAGGCAGCAGUCGGGAAUCUUCCGCAAUGGGCGAAUGCCUGACGGUGCAACGCGGCGUGAGUGAUGAUGGUCCUCGGACCGUAAAACGCUGUUAUUAUGGAAGAACAAAUGUGUAAGUAACUGGGCACAUCUUGACGGUACCUAAUCAGAAAGCCACGGCUAACUACGUG